rnacentral:rRNA from 1 species
GAUGAACGCUGGCGGCGUGCCUAAUACAUGCAAGUCGAGCGAACAGACGAGGAGCUUGCUCCUCUGACGUUAGCGGCGGAGGGGUGAGUAACACGUGGAUAACCUACCUAUAAGACUGGGAUAACUUCGGGAAACCGGAGCUAAUACCGGAUAAUAUAUUGAACCGGAUGGUUCAAUAGUGAAAGACGGUUUUGCUGUCACUUAUAGAUGGAUCCGCGCCGCAUUAGAUAGUUGGUAAGGUAACGGCUUACCAAGGCAACGAUGCGUAGCCGACCUGAGAGGGUGAUCGGCCACACUGGAACUGAGACACGGUCCAGACUCCUACGGGAGGACGCAGUAGGGAAUCUUCCGCAAUGGGCGAAAGCCUGACGGAGCAACGCCGCGUGAGUGAUGAAGGUCUUCGGAUCGUAAAACUCUGUUAUUAGGGAAGAACAAAUGUGUAAGUAACUAUGCACGUCUUGACGGUACCUAAUCAGAAAGCCACGGCUAACUACGUG